rnacentral:misc_RNA from 1 species
GACUCAUCUUCUACUACAAUCUCAUCACACAAUAAGGGGAAAUACCCUAACAGGGAUGGAGCCUAAAUAGUAAUCAAGACCCAUGAAAGAGAAUGGCUCUAUACAGUAUCCUAUAGUAAUGAAAUCAUAAUUAAUCACGAGUACUCGUAGUAUAGUUUUUUAGCAACCAUAGGAGGCGACCUCUCCCUCACUCUCAGGCUCUCCAUCUCUCAGGCAAUUUAGAGGAGGUAUAGUGACUGUUUCUUCUGUCCCAUAGGCAUUCCAACAGAAUGGAUCAUCUACCAAUUCUCCUUCUUCAGGGAGAAGCUCAACUUCUGACAGGGUUAUUUUGGUGCAAGGGACAGUGUCACUGCAGGCAAAGUGAAUUGGUGGGGUUC